rnacentral:lncRNA from 1 species
CUUUAGGGUAACAACAAUUGGACCCUCCCCAGAUAAUUCUAAUUCAUUGAGCGCUUGCAUAACUCGAAGUUGAGUAAAAAUUUUUGAUGAAAUAUCUCGAGUACGAGGAGUUAGUCCAAUGCAAAGUACAAGUACUGCUAAAAAGGAUCCGGCCCUUUCCACUACUCAUAUCUUAAUGUCAAUACAUAGAGAGAGUGAAGACUGCGAGUGCCAAAAAAAUGCAGAAACCUGA